UAGGUGCAGUUCUGUCUCCAAAUGAUCAGACUUCUGCCACCAGGGUUCUUUUAAGACAGUACUACAUGUAAAAGGGAAUUUGGCUUUCACUUUAUUUAAUAUCUGAAUUGUCAGGUAUGAUUGGUAAUUGUGGGA